GGAUACACAACAGGGCACCUUUGCCAGAAGAUUUGGACACUCCCAGGAUAGUCAUGCUACCCCUGAAAGCUGAUUCCAGCUCUGAUGGUGCCUCCUGAGGAUGCUCAGGAAACCCAGGAGCAGUGGACUUACACUCAUUCUCAAAGAGAUGGAACUGCAUCCCUAGCAGGCCGACUGACUUGCAGAAUGUGUAUGUUGAGGAGCUUUUCUUCUUCGGGCAAAGCUUGAGGAUCUGUAGGAGGGAGAGAAGCAUCAUUGGUGCUGGAGAACAGUGAGGCAGGAGUGAUGCAAACUGCUCAAGGCAAAAAAGCUCUGCUCCCUGAUCUGAGAUGUACUAUCCUGAGUGAUGCAGGUGAGGACCUGCUGAGAAAUGGAAAGGCAUUGAGAUGUCCUGCUCCCUUACCUAGAUCCUUGCAAGUGUAUCCCAGAUAACAUUCCCAACACAGGCUGCUGAAGCUGCUGGCCUGCGCAUUGGCCUGCAGGAAUUCCCCAAUCAUCUGGCGGCUGAGGCCCUUCCGCUGCAGCAGGAAGUGUGCCACCCCAAUGGGGGUGUCUGGGAUGAAGCCUCGGGAGAUCAGGAACUGGAUCCCUUUGUCUGGGUUUCUGGAAGGGAAGGACAGAGACAUGGUGUCAGCCAGCAAUGAAAAGAAAAAUACCCAGAAAAAGAAAGACUCUCAGUUUUGAAAGGCAAAAUGUCUGAAUUUUAAAUGUUGAGACAAGAUAAUAAAAAAAGCAGAAGGAAGAUUUACCUGAGCUGGUAAUGACAAACACAUGUAAAUACAUCAACACACACCAUCUCAACUGGAUUCAGCAAAGCAGGUUCUGCAGUUGGAGGAGCUGGAGAGCCAAGGAGGGUGUCAUGGCCCCUGUGGACACCUAUCCUGCCCUUUGGAGCAGCUGGCAAUCACUGCUGUGCACUUGCCACCUACUGCUCAGCAUCUCUGCACAUCCUGUGUCCCAUCUGGCAUGGAGCCUGGAUCCCAAGGAACCAGUUUCCCCUUGGAGUUCCUAAGAGCAUGUGGGAAAUGGGGCAGGGGCAGCUGAAUGUUGCUGAGUUUCCAGAGAAACUCUUGUUUCCAGAGAAACAGAGCCAGCCAGCCCUGAGAUCCUGACCCUUUAAAGAGUGUCUCCAAUCUAGCCACAGCAGAACUGCAGACAUGAAAGAGCUUCCAUGAAAGAAGCUGCCUCUUCCUCACCCAAAAAUUGCUGUGCCACUGAGAUCUUGUGGAGAAAGUUCUCUUUUCUCCUGUCAGCCACAGCUGCAGCUGUGUGAAACCAGGGCCUGACAACAGUGCACCCUAAGAGAUGGGACAUCUUGCUCCAGGCAAGAUGGGAUUAGCAUGUCUGAUCCAUUGAAGUGAUGAGGAAGUCUGUACUUGACCCCUCUUGCAAAGUAUAUUCCAAAAUAAUCAAAUUUCAAACAAGAUUUUGUUGUUCUGAGGUUCUGUUUGAACCAUGAGAGUGUUUGUUCGUUGUUACCUUAGCCUCCUUCUUGUAGCUACAGAGGAAUAAUUUAUGAUUUCCAAGACUGCGCCAGCCUACAUGGACUCUGGCUGCUACUGCAGCAAGUCCAUCACACACAGUUCCACUGGUUUCCAAGG